rnacentral:pre_miRNA from 1 species
CAUACCUGGAGAUCUGGUUAAAAUGCAGAUUCUGAUUUUGUGGGUCCGGGGUAAGGUUUGAAAUUCUGCAUUUCUAAUCAGCUCCCAGGUAAUGCUGA